AGAGUUUGAUCAUGGCUCAGAAUCAACGCUGGCGGCGUGCCUAACACAUGCAAGUCGCACGAGAAAGGGGAGCAAUCCCUGAGUACAGUGGCGCACGGGUGAGUAACACGUGAAUCAUCUACCUCCGAGUGGGGAAUAACUGAGAGAAAUCUUAGCUAAUACCGCAUAACACUUACGAGUCAAAGCAGCAAUGCGCUUGGAGAGGAGUUCGCGGCCGAUUAGUUAGUUGGCGGGGUAAUGGCCCACCAAGACGAUGAUCGGUAUCCGGCCUGAGAGGGCGCACGGACACACUGGAACUGAAACACGGUCCAGACUCCUACGGGAGGCAGCAGUGGGGAAUUUUGCGCAAUGGGGGAAACCCUGACGCAGCAACGCCGCGUGGAGGAUGAAAUAUCUUGGUAUGUAAACUCCUUUCGAUGGGGAAGAUUAUGACGGUACCCAUAGAAGAAGCCCCGGCUAACUUCGUGCCAGCAGCCGCGGUAAUACGAGGGGGGCAAGCGUUGUUCGGAUUUAUUGGGCGUAAAGGGUGCGUAGGCGGUUUGGCAAGUCUGAUGUGAAAUCUAUGGGCUCAACCCAUAGUCUGCAUCAGAAACUGCCGGGCUUGAGUAUGGGAGAGGUGAGUGGAAUUUCCGGUGUAGCGGUGAAAUGCGUAGAUAUCGGAAGGAACACCUGUGGCGAAAGCGGCUCACUGGACCAUAACUGACGCUGAUGCACGAAAGCUAGGGGAGCAAACAGGAUUAGAUACCCCUGUAGUCC
rnacentral:rRNA from 1 species